UAAGGGAAUUUUUCGAAAUUUUUGGAAUUUUUUCGAGAAUUUUUCGGAGUUCGUACGGACGAGUUAACAGGGAUAAAAACGGGGUCCAAGAAAGCCUGUUUAGGUUACCCAUUUUAAAGCGAGGAAAAGUCGAAUUUGUUUAUUCAUUUUCCUUUUUCUUUAUUUCUUUUAUUCUCUUCGUUUCCCUUCUUGCGCCCGACGCCGCCGAAACCCCGUGCCCUAACUGCCCCUAACCGGCGCCUCUCGCUUCUUUUUCUCCACUCUCCCUCUGCUGACAGCCGCUUCUCCCCGAUCCUUUCUUCUCUAGCACCGAGUAGCAUCGCCGGCCAAUCCCUCUUCCUCCUCCCUCGCGACGCCUCUGCCCUAGAUCGGCACCGCACGGAGCAGCAUCAACGCCUUCUCUCGAGUUGUGUUGUCGCGCCGAGACGAGGCCGAGCGCCGGCCACCAGGUUCGGUACCAAUCUCUUGUGCCCUAGCCGAGCCAUCCUCCGCCCGAUUCUUCUCUUCAUCUUCCCAUGCGCCGACGACGCGCAAGCCACCGCCGGUAGGCAGUUUCCCUUGUGGGAGAUCUUUCCCUAGUGUCGACCCUUCUCCUUCUCUUUCGAGUGCAGGUUGCCUCCACGUUGUGGUGUUCGGUGGAUUUAGAAAUUGGGUGUUGUGGGCUGUUCCUAGUUCCAGCAGCAACUCUCUCCAACAACGUCGGUGUCCUCCCGUGCCCUAAUUUCUGACUUAGUUCCCUAACUGUGAUCUGGGAGGUAAGAAAUUGUGUUAUGUAAUUAGGAUUUUUGAUUGGUGAUUUGUGUCUCAAUCUGAUCCGAGCAGUGGGGAAGGUUUCCUGUAGGGCUUGCUUUGCUGUGGAUUGAUCUUGGUUUCGGCAGCACCUCUUUGGCUGCGGAUCAAUAGCAGAGAUCUGUGAAUUAGGGUUGAUGCUGUCAGGAGAGAGUUCCAGUCGCUAGUCCCCUGCAGUCCACGAGGACGAGCGUUGAUCUUGUGGUUUUAUUUAUUAGUCUGUAUUUAGACUUGUUACGUUUUGAUACUUGGAUCUUGUGUAUGGAUUUUGUUUUUACAUAUUGAUGGGUUUGGAUUUGGAUUUGUUUUACUACAUGCCUACCUAGACGGCAGAAGAGGUAAGUUGAUUUUAUCGUCGGAUUUAAGUUUA